CCACCCCAGGGGACCCCCACGCGGGCCCUUUCCUCGGUUCCACGGCCACGAUCCAAGGUUAAGAGGCAAGCGUCCAGGUCCAAGAGGUGGGGGGGGACAUCCUGGUCCAAUGUUUCCACCAAAAAGACCCUUUCCACCCCCCCGGUACUGACGGGAGACUUUGUUCCGAGCUCUCUCCAAUCACUGUGGAUGACGUGAAGGUGUGGGGGGGGGGGGGGCAAGACUUUAAAGAUAGACAGUAGCCUUACAAGUCAAAAUCUGAAACCGUGAAUGUCGCAGAUACUGAGGUGGGAGUCGGAGGGACGGAGGGAGGUGAUGCUGAAGAAACAAAAUCCACCAGCUGCCAGAAGAAAAGUGCAAACGUGGAUGAGUAGAGGACGAUUAGGAAAAUCAACUCCCAGAGAGGUGAAGGGAACCAGAGGCUCUGAGCGGGCGGCUGGGCUGAAGGGUGCAGACAGAAGAUCCAAGAAAAAAAGAGGGAAGCAGAGCCACACUUUGAUGUGACUGAUGUGAUGGUAACUUCUUCCCACAACCUGACUGAUGGAGGUGGGGGAGGUGGAGGCUUGCUGCUGCUGCUGCUGCGACUGUCCUCUUUGAAUCCCUGCACCGCUGCCGGUGAUGUCUCUUCAUGGUCUGACAUGAACGCAGCUGAGCGGUGAAUCACAGAAAACAGGAAGUUUGGACUGAGGCCCGUGUGAAGUGAGUACAACCAGGAUUAUUAAAUACUUCCCUUUUCCUCGUCUCUGUGUCACUCACACACAAGCUGCUAUCCACAGAACCAGGUAUUCAGAUGCCUUUUUAUGUAAAAACUCCACUAAAUGCAUUUUUA